CGGUGUCUGUCCCUGGCCAGGGUGGGGGCGGGGCCUCCGCCGCUCUGAGCUUGCCCUUGUGUCUGGUGCUUCGUAGAGCUGCCGCCGCCGCUGCCGCCGCCGCCGCUGCCGCUGCUGCUACAGCCGCCGCUGCAGCCGGAGCAUCCGGGAGCUGCCACUGCCGCCGCCGCUGCCGCCACUAGCGCUGCUUCCACCGCUGCUACCUCCCCUCCCAGGACCUCGAGACAUCCCGGGUGCGAGCGGCAGUGCUGCUUGCUUGCUCCCCCUCUCCCCCAGCCUUUCCCCUCCGUGACCUACCCACUCCUUGCAGCCCUCGCCCGCACCUUCUUCGACACCCCGGCACCCCUGCACCACCUGCUCGGGCAGCCCCGGCGGGCUCUGGGACUUGCUGUGCGCGCCGAGAGGAAGGCAAGCUCCAAACCCCUGCCUGGCAGACGGGCUGUCGCGGCUGCACCACCAGCAGGAGGAGGAGGAGAAGAAACUAUUUCGCCCACCGAUACCCCAUUCUGCGGGUGCUUUGCCGCUGUCGCUACUGCUGCCGCCAAUCCGAGUCCGCGGGUUCGAACACCUCAGCGGCGGGGACGGUAGGUCCCGUGGGCGCCGGGAGGAGGACAGCAGCGGAGCCCUGCACUCUCGUGCCCCGCUCACCAGCAUCUACUUGCCCCCUCGUUCCUUCCCCAGCCCUUGAGAGAAGGGACCAUGAUUUGGAAACGCAGCGCCGUUCUCCGCUUCUACAGUGUCUGCGGGCUCCUGCUACAAGUGUGUGAGAGCCUGGGAGCGAGCUACCAAGAAGGCGAGAACAGCAGCAGCGGCAGCACCGUGUGCAUUGCAAUAACAUCUCCGGGGGGGAAAUGUGUUGUGAGACGUGUCAUUCACCUAGGAAGAGAGAGGAGACUCUGUCUGGGAUUUAAGAAAAAAAAAAGAAAAAAGAAAGAAAGAAAACAAAAAGAAAGAAAGGAAAAAGAAUAAGAAAAAAUAAAAAAUGAAUGAAUGAGUAAAUAAACCAAUAAAUUAAGAAAGGGGAGAAAAGGCAAAAAAAUUAAAAGAUCCAAACGCACUUUAUCAACACAUUGACUUUUUAUUAUUUAGUCUGUGUCAUUUCUUUUUUUUUUAAACCAAAGAAAUAUAUGCUUCCUAGCAGUUACUUUACUGCCAAGAGAUUUUCACUUAGAUUUCCUACCUCUCCAUCUUCUCUCUGCCGCUUCUUUCCGUAAUUAAUAUUAUCCUUUCACGUGAAAUGUAAGAACCCCUACCACCGCAGUGGAGGGAAGCCGCACAAAACGCUGUUAUUAUGCAAAUCACUGGGUUUGGAUGCCGGAAGGCUAGUGAACCUGGGUUCACUUUUCUCCAGACCCUCUUUUUUGGAGGAGGGAGUGAGGGGGCUGUGUGGAAUGGGAGGAUGAUGCUGAUUAUGAAAUAAAUGGCAAUGCAUAGUACAGGAGUGCAUGAGGACACUUUGGGUGGUGGAGGAGGCAGAGGCGGCGUGCUAGGGCUGGGUGGGCAGGGGCUGUAAGGCGGAAGAUUGUUGCUUUGAAGAGAAUAGUAUAGGGAUGUGGCUUGAAUGUGAGAUAUAGCGAGGAUGGAUGUGAAAUGAUGAUUGAUAGAAUAUUUUUUAAGCUAGGUGACUAGAUUUUUUUUUUCUUUGCCUACCUCUAAACCCUUCUGUCAUUAUUUGGGUAUUUGCAGGAAGAUAAGUUGAUCAAAUUAAUUUUCCCCUGGGUAAAAGGGAUCUGAAAGUAAGACACACGUAGACUCACUGGCGUGCAAAACCCAAUCGGCCUUUGGAGGAUUUAAAUGAGGUCAAUGAACCAUCUUUCAGCAAGUUCUUGGAAUGCAUCCUCUCUCCUGCCCUCCUCCGGGAUAUAGACUGGGGACAGAAUUUUAUUUAUGCAUAUUUAUGAACAUGAAAGAAGAGGCAGUGGGCAGAAUUUUCCUGAAUUAACUAACUGACCUUCUAGAGAUCUUGUGUAAAAUAUUUCGGUGGUACUUUUGUGUAUUUUACGUUGGGUGUAAAUUUCAGAUAUGUCAUGUGUGCCAGAAUCUCCGUGAAGGCAGACAGCACAUUCUUCCUGCGUACGCCGCUGAGUCCCAUUUCUCACCGUUCACACCCCCCAUCCUCACGCAAGUAACCCGGGUGUCUGACACGUUACUUAGGUUUUUAAUCCGCGCUGAGACAAUCUCCCGGAGACCCUACUUCACCUCUCAGUAACUUGCAUUUCUCAGCUCAGCUGUGUGUGUGUGUGUGUAUGUGUGUGUGUGUGUGUGUGUGUGUGUGCGCGCGCGCGCGCCCCGGCGUGCGCCGUGUUGGGGGGAGUGUGAUGUGGGGGAAUCAGUUAAUUUGGUGAUUGCAAUGAAAAUUCGACACCGCUAGAUGUAUUUUCCCUGCCAAUCUGUGUGUGCUGGUCCUGGCCGGUCAAUGCACACACUGCUGGGCUGCUGCGAAAUUAUUUAUUAUAGAGCAUGUGGGUCAUGGACUGCACUUGGGGUCGCCUCCUCUCUUCCUUCAACAUUUCCCUGUGAAUUGUCUAUUCAGUGCAGUGCAAAAUAACUGUUUGCUGGUGCCUCUCUCAGCCUGGAGGAGGAUUUACUCUUUCUCUAUCCGGGGAGAUUCCAUCAGCAGCAUUCAGGCAUGAGUCUCUUUUAUUGAGUAUGUAAACC
rnacentral:lncRNA from 1 species